AUUGAACGCUGGCGGCAUGCCUUACACAUGCAAGUCGAACGGCAGCACGGGAGCAAUCCUGGUGGCGAGUGGCGAACGGGUGAGUAAUAUAUGGGAACGUGCCCAGUCGUGGGGGAUAACGCAGCGAAAGCUGUGCCAAGACCGCAUACGAUCUACGGAUGAAAGCGGGGAAUCGCAAGACCUCGCGCGAUGGGAGCGGCCGGUAUCAGAUUAGCUAGUUGGUGAGGUAAAGGCUCACCAAGGCGACGAUCUGUAGCUGGUCUGAGAGGGGGACCAGCCACACUGGAACUGAGACACGGUCCAGACUCCUACGGGAGGCAGCAGUGGGGAAUUUUGGACAAUGGGCGAAAGCCUGAUCCAGCAAUGCCGCGUGCAGGAUGAAGGCCUUCGGGUUGUAAACUGCUUUUGUACGGAACGAAACGGUGAGCUCUAAUACAGUUUGCUAAUGACGGUACCGUAAGAAUAAGCACCGGCUAACUACGUGCCAGCCGCCGCCGUAA
rnacentral:rRNA from 1 species